CUGUUUCCGCCAUUUCAAGGGAUGGCGCUCCCAUCUCUUUAAGCUGCCGCUCUUCCAACUUGGCAGGGCUGAUUAGGAAGACCCAGUUCCUGACCACCGAUGCUUUGCUACGCUAGGCUGGAAAAUGCCUCCCUCUGCCCUUGAGAAGGGGGUCUGAAUGUUUUGCGGGACUGACACCGCAGCAACAUGCCGGUGUGUUUCACGCUGCUGCCUCCUGUUUCCCUUGAAGCUUUCACCAGACCCUGGAUUUCUUUUUCACUUCCUGUUCUGAGCCAUCGCCGGGCACUCAUUACCCACCAGCUGUGUCCCAGCUGCCGCAUUCUACACUAGAGGUGGCGCCCUGCACCCGGCGGAUACUACUUGUUGUCCACUUUUUCUCCUUUUCAUUUCCUUUUGGUGAAGAAAUGAAGAGAAUCAGACUACCCACCUUGGAUUCUGAUAUGAAAGAUUUAGGAUAAAAGAGCUACUCCAUCAGCCUGGAAAGAUGACUCACUGGCAAACUCUUAGAUAAAGCUAAACUUCACACCAAACUGCAAGAGAGUCUAAGAAUGAAGAGAAAACUGCUUUGGCAAGCAACUACCUAGUCUCUGACACAGUCCACCUUUUUGGUCAGCCAAUAUCCAGCUCCGCCUUGUCUUCUUACACAAAGCCCAGGCAAAGCCCAGGAUUGCUAACUGUUGUACAAACCUGUUGGUCAGGCCUAGAUGGAAGCUUUCAACCCCAUUUCAAGUCAGCUGGCUUAUCCAACCCUGAAAGGUCUGUGAUCUCUCAGUUCUUUUUAUAAACAGGCCUCUGCUUGCAAAUGGCCAAUUCUUGCCUGAGCUCAUCUCUUUCUUGUAAUACUUUAUGAAAGGCAGCCAGUAGUAACUAAUGCAUAAAUUUUUCCAACCAACUGGCCCAAAGGUCAGUAGACCUUUUUACCAAAUGUUUCGCAAUGUAUAGCAUGAAUCUCCAUCUUUCUCCUCUCUGUUAUCAGGUUCCUCAGUGCCCAACCAUUAUGUCAAUGCCUUUUACCUUAAUUUUUUUCUUAUGGCAACAUUUUCUUCUGGAAUUAUUUCUGUACUGUAGCAAAUGCCCUAAACUGUGUAAAACAGUUUGAAGACACUAUUUUUUUUUCUAUUUUUAUCAUUUGUUCCUCGGUCUACUCAAUACGCUCCCUGCUUAAAACUCCCCUAGUGAUUUUCUGUUGGGUUUAAAAUAGAGUCUAAACUCUUUACCAUGGAUUACAAGCUUCUCUGUUAACUGGUUGUAACCUGCAUUUCCAGCCUCCUUUGGCGCCACUCUUGUCCCACCAACUAUAUCACAUUUCCUUUGGAACAUUUUCUGCUUCUUGAACUUGCCCAGGUCCUUGCUGUUAGCUGGUCCCUUUGCCUAUGAUGAUCUUCCUUCUUAGCAUCACUUGAACUGCAAAAAAUAAAAAAUGAAACAAAAAA
rnacentral:lncRNA from 1 species